AUAUAAAUAAACUAAUUUAAGUUAUUAGACUCAUAAUCUAAAUAUAGAUUUAUUCUUUUAUAUA
rnacentral:tRNA from 1 species